rnacentral:rRNA from 1 species
CCUACGGGAGGCAGCAGUAAGGAAUAUUGGUCAAUGGAGGCAACUCUGAACCAGCCAUGCCGCGUGCAGGAUGACGGCCCUAUGGGUUGUAAACUGCUUUUAUACAAGAGAAAACCCUGGUACGUGUACCAGGUUGAUAGUAUUGUAAGAAUAAGCAUCGGCUAACUUCGUGCCAGCAGCCGCGGUAAGACGAAGGAUGCAAGCGUUAUCCGGAUUCAUUGGGUUUAAAGGGUGCGUAGGCGGACUGAUAAGUCAGUGGUGAAAUCUCUUUGCUUAACAAAGAAACUGCCAUUGAUACUGUCGGUCUAGAGUAUAGAUGACGUUGGCGGAAUAUGACAUGUAGUGGUGAAAUACUUAGAUAUGUCAUAGAACACCGAUUGCGAAGGCAGCUAACGGAAACUAUAAACUGACGCUGAGGCACGAAAGUGCGGGGAUCAAACAGGAUUAGAUACCCAGGUAGUCCGCACCGUAAACGAUGAUUACUCGUUGUUGGCGAUAUGACAGUCAGCGACCAAGCGAAAGCGAUAAGUAAUCACCUGGGGAGUACGCCGGCAACGGUGAAACGUCAAAGGAUUGACGGCGNGAGAGNGCGAGGACGACGACGAGGGAGGAGG